UACCGCUUUAGUUUAGCUUGCGACAUUUGAAUGUUUAUAUGUAUUGGUAGCAGAGUAUAAAUAAAAAUGAGCGACGAAGCUGUAUUUGAAACAAUUGAAGAGGUCAAUAAGCAUAUCUCACACGUGGAAGAGUCAACCUGUGUGAAAUAUAUUUCUUACCGUGUGACCAAUGACCAAGAUAUUUCAGGAAACAGAUGGCAAGGAAAAAAUAAACCUGUUGCUGAAAACCAAGAAAGUAGCAUGCCCUGCUGUGUUCACAAUCAGCCGCAUUGUGAAGUUCCCUGGAUUCAAGUUGGAGAAGGACACAUCACGGUUGAGGAGGGUCAUGUCUAUUUCCAUCAAACAAGCUCUCCAGACAGACCCAGCCUCAGUGCAGUGGAAGAUACAGUAUUUCCUCAAAAUACCCAGUGUCACUGACCACAAGGGCCAUCCUAUUGGAAAGGUAUUACUA